CUUUUAGAGAGUUAUCAAUCAAGUACAAUGUUAGAUUUUAUUUGGAGUCUAAUCCAAACAAAUGUAAACAUGCCUACAGAUUUAUCAGAGAAAUGUGAACUCUGACUGAAUACUUGAGGAAUUAGUGGUAAUUUCUUACUGAUAAUAGUAUUGUGAUUUUGCUUAAAAUAGUAAAAUAGUCCUUACCAUUUAGUGAUAUACACAGAAAAAACACAUAUAUUCAGAAAUAGCUAUAGGUGAAACAAUAUGAUUUCUGGAGAAUACCUUCAAAAUAAUCUGAGUGGUUGGGGAAGGGGAUGAGGUAUAUAGAUGAAGCAAGAUUGGUCAUGUUUCGAUAAUUAUUGAAUCUGGGUAAUAAGCACAUGCAAGUACAUUCUUCCAUUCCCUCUUCUAUAUAGGCUUGACACUCUUCAUAACAGUUAAAAAACAAGUUCCCAGUGUGGAUGAUGGUAUAAAUGUUACUCUAUGGCAGAAGUGAGAAGGCUAUAUUUAAAUGAGUUGAUUCAUGAUUAGGAAAGGUGAAAUAUGAGCACAGAAAGUCACAUGCUGAGAUCUCUUUCUCUCCCCAUCCCUAUACAUGCCACUUCCUCCAAAACUUGAAAUCUAAUACCUCACUAUAAAUAUAUACAGUGAAUCCAGCUAUGGCCAGGAUGGUUUUAAUCUUUUAAUCUGCUGGAGGGCCAAUUUCUGGGAUAGAAAAAAUAAGAUACUAAAGAAUGAGAUACAGGGUCAUUGGUAUAAUGUAAGCAUUUAUUAAACGUAUUCUUCAAGGAACCGGAGGUGAGAAAUGUAAGAAGGUAAGAGGAGAGAUAGGGUCCUGUAAGUCACUGACCAUCUUGGAUGGCAGUUUGUUGAAGUCUCUGUUUAACUGCCAACUGCCCCAUAAAGGCUUCCAGGGCAUUCUUCAGUGGAAGGAUUCUCUCACCGGCUGCAGCACUUUCUCAUUCUUUCUCACCCCGGAGUGUUUGUCCAGCUUACUCAUGAGCUUACUCUUGAGUGCACCCACCACUAGAAUUUGAACAUCCUAAGAACUGGUAUUUUUGUCUCUGCUUUGCUGAUGUAUCCUCAGCAACCGGAACUGCCUGACAUCUGAUCCUUUCUGUGAGUCACCAGGCUGUUGAGGAAGAAUCUAUGGCAACAUUGUAUCUAUUAAUAUACAGCUUCUGUAUUUAUCAGAUGAAGAAAAUGGCACUUAGGAAGCUGAAGUAACUUGCCUCAUAACACUGCCCAGUUCUGGUGAUGAUUUCACUUUUGACAGAAGCUGUCCCUCAAAAGCAAACAUGCAAUAGAAGAAACAGAUCUCAAUGCCAUCCAUCUGCAGUUGUGACAAGCAAAAACGUCUCCAGACAUGGCCAAAUGUCCCCUGGGGGGCAAAAUCACCCCCAGUUGAGAACUACUGCUCUAAACUUGAUGUUCAUAUCAGCAGUACAGCGCUGGACUUCCUAGUGAAGAAAACAGCAAGAUUAUAGACACAGUUUAGAAACAAAGGAACACCAUAUACAUUUAAAGGCAGAAAGUAUUUACUCACUCCCUGGCCACAGCCACCGUUACCUUCUCAAUCCCAACUUCGGAUAUAAUUAUUGAUAUAUUUAUAACGAGUUUAUGAAGAAUGUGAAAAAGAUCUGACCACCCUAGCUAUGGACUGAAGUUGGAGCCUCUUUUCUAAUAUAAUGCAAUUGACCAAGACUGCUUGGGAGCAGCUGUCAGUAUUGUUUAAAGCUGUCAUUCAAUAUGGCCAAACUCUUUGUUAUCUAAAACCCCUUGUCUGAUCUGUUGCCUCUGUUUCACUUUUCCAAUUAGAUGAAUGACAGAAACAAAAAAUCGUAAUAAAUAUUGUCAAAUCUGA